AUUGUCAAAACUUCUAUAGAUAAUACACAAAAAUAUUUUAGAAUUCAGUACACUUCUAUAGUAUAACUUUAUUGAAAAAGAUGAAAAAUGUCAGCACCUUUUCAAUAUUAUUUUUUGGUUUUCUGCUGUGCAUUUCAAGCUGUGCAGGGGCAAAAAAUACAACAAAUAAUGAAUGCGUCAACUGCACCCAAUAUAGUGGCGAUUGUAAAAUGAACAGUACGGGAUGGGCUCCAUUUUGGAUGUCCCACGUGGACCAUCGCAUAGUUAGGAAACUACGCACCUAUACGGACGGGGAUCCACAUCUAGCUCGAUGCGUUAUUGAUGGUUAUGAGAUAACAGAUGAAAUAGAAACAUUUAUAUGCUUCUGGGCACCAUAUAUGGGCUGUCAGGCUGCUGCCAGUAAGGCUUACGUGAAUAUACAUCAUAUGCAUAAUAUAGUCUGUCAAGUAUGUGCCAGAUAUUGCAAAUGCAAGAAGCU